rnacentral:rRNA from 1 species
AGAGGGUGCGAACGUUGCUCGGAUUUACCGGGGCGUAAAGCGCGUGUAGGCGGACUCGCAAGUCGGUUGUGAAAUCCCUGGGGCUCAACCUAGGGAACUGCAUCCGAAACUGCUUGUCUUGAGUAAUGGAGAGGGUGGCGGAAUUCCCGGUGUAGAGGUGAAAUUCGUAGAUAUCGGGAGGAACAUCAGUGGCGAAGGCGGCCACCUGGACAUUUACUGACGCUGAGACGCGAAGGCGUGGGGAGCAAACAGGAUUAGAUACCCUGGUAGUCCACGCCGUAAACGAUGAGCAUUAGGUGCAGCGGAUAUUGACCUCUGCUGUGCCGUAGCUAACGCGUUAAAUGCUCCGCCUGGGGAGUACGGCCGCAAGGCUA